rnacentral:rRNA from 1 species
UACGUAGGGAGCGAGCGUUAUCCGGAAUGACUGGGCGUAAAGCGUGCGUAGGCGGGGUAUUAAGUCAAGUGUGAAAUCCCCCAGCUCAACUCGGGACGUUCAUUUGAAACUGGAAUGCUAGAGUACUAGAGAGGGUAGUGGAAUUGAUGGUGUAGCAGUGAAAUCCGUAGAUAUCAUCAGGAACACCGGAGGCGAAGGCGACCACCUGGGUGGUCACUGACGCUGAGGCACGAAAGCGUGGGGAGCAAACAGG